rnacentral:rRNA from 1 species
UACGUAGGGUGCGAGCGUUAAUCGGAAUUACUGGGCGUAAAGUGUGCGCAGGCGGCGUCGCAAGUCGAGUGUGAAAGCCCCGAGCUUAACUUGGGAAUUGCGCUCGAAACUACGAUGCUGGAGUGUGGCAGAGGAAGGUGGAAUUCCACGUGUAGCGGUGAAAUGCGUGGAGAUGUGGAGGAACACCGAUGGCGAAGGCAGCCUUCUGGGCCAACACUGACGCUCAUGCACGAAAGCGUGGGGAGCAAACAGG